UUUCCAAGUCGGAGAAACAGAGACGGUUUAGUUUCAGGAUCGAUUCGGUGAGUUAAGUCGGUCAACUGAACUCAGUUCCUCCCAAAACUCAGCCAUGGCCUCUCUUUCUCCUCAGACACUCCUCUCUAUCUCAAAACCAAACAAACCCAACUCAAAACAGCUGCCAAGCCACGCUUGCCUCCUCUCAAAACUUUCCCAGAACCCCAAUUUCUCUAGAAACAAACAGAGAAAGUUGAACAGCUG
rnacentral:lncRNA from 1 species